rnacentral:rRNA from 1 species
UACAGAGGGUGCAAACGUUGCUCGGAAUCACUGGGCGUAAAGGGCGUGUAGGCGGGCAUGUAAGUCGGGCGUGAAAUCCCUAGGCUCAACCUAGGAACUGCACUCGAAACUGCGUUUCUUGAGUAUCGGAGAGGAAAGCGGAAUACCUGGUGUAGAGGUGAAAUUCGUAGAUAUCAGGUGGAACACCAGUGGCGAAGGCGGCUUUCUGGACGAUAACUGACGCUGAGACGCGAAAGCGUGGGGAGCAAACAGG